GGUUAACGCUGGCGGCGUGCCUAACGCAUGCAAGUCGAGCGAGGGCUCAUUUCCCGCAAGGGAGGUGGGUUCCUAGCGGCGAACGGGUGAGUAACACGUGGGCAACCUUUCCCAUCGUGGGGAGUAACACCGGAAACCGGUAGCUAAUGCCGCAUGAGGUCGACUGGGGCGAUCCCUCGGUGAAGAAAGCAGUAAUGCGCGAGUGGGGUGGGCCCGCGGCCUAUCAGCUAGUCGGUGGGGUG
rnacentral:rRNA from 1 species